rnacentral:tRNA from 1 species
GCCCCAGUAGCUCAAUAGGAUAGAGCAGGGCACUCCUAAGGCCAAGGCUGCGUGUUCGAGUCACGCCUGGGGCA